rnacentral:rRNA from 1 species
CCUACGGGUGGCUGCAGUGAGGAAUAUUGGUCAAUGGCCGAGAGGCUGAACCAGCCAAGUCGCGUGAGGGAAGUCGGCCCUACGGGUUGUAAACCUCUUUUGUCGGGGAGCAAAGCGAGUCACGUGUGACUCAUUGAGAGUACCCGAAGAAAAAGCAUCGGCUAACUCCGUGCCAGCAGCCGCGGUAAUACGGAGGAUGCGAGCGUUAUCCGGAUUUAUUGGGUUAAAAGGGUGCGUAGGCGGGAUGCCAAGUCAGCGGUCAAAUACGGGGGCUCAACCUGCGUCCGCCGUUGAAACUGGCGUUCUUGAGUGGGCGAGAAGUACGCGGAAUGCGUGGUGUAGCGGUGAAAUGCAUAGAUAUCACGCAGAACCCCGAUUGCGAAGGCAGCGUACCGGCGCCCGACUGACGCUGAAGCACGAAAGCGUGGGUAUCGAACAGGAUUAGAUACCCGAGUAGUC